GAUGAACGCUGGCGGCGUGCCUAAUACAUGCAAGUCGAGCGAACAGACGAGGAGCUUGCUCCUCUGACGUUAGCGCCGGACGGGUGAGUAACACGUGGAUAACAUACCUCUCAGACUGGGAUAACUUCGGGAAACCGGAGCUAAUACCGGAUAAUAUAUUGAACCGCAUGGUUCACUAGUGAAAGACGGUUUUGCUGUCACUUAUAGAUGGAUCCGCGCCGCAUCAGCUAGUUGGUAAGGUAACGGCUUACCAAGGCAACGAUGCGUAGCCGACCUGAAAGGGUGAUCGGCCACACGGGAACUGAGACACGGUCCAGACUCCUACGGGAGGCAGCAGUAGGGAAUCUUCCGCAAUGGGCGAAAGCGUGACGGAGCAACGCCGCGUGAGUGAUGAAGGUCUUCGGAUCGUAAAACUCUGUUAUUAGGGAAGAACAAAUGCGUAAGUAACUAUGCACGUCUUGACGGUACCGAAUCAGAAAGCCACGGCUAACUACGUG
rnacentral:rRNA from 1 species